UCCCUGGUGGCUCAGAGGUUAAAGCAUCUGCCUGCAAUGCGGGAGACCUGGGUUUGAUCCCUGGGUAAGGAA
rnacentral:tRNA from 1 species